UGGAGGAAACUCAAUGAAAUAGAUUCAGCCUUGAUUUUCUUCCAGCGAAGUUCAUAAUUUCAGGAAUCCAGAAACAAAGUGCGUGUGCUGGAAAACUGAAACGUUCUGAAGAAGGGAUUCUCCUGCAUCAGACAAAAGCAGAUAUGCCAAUCAUAUUUAGCUGACCUUUGACCUUUGCCAAACUGAAGACUCCUACCUCUGCGACAGUCAGUCAACCAUGGUUAAAAUAGCAAACAGCACCUAAAGACUAAGAGCACCAGCAGUAAUGAUUAUUUCCUAGUCAAUGUAACAUGAUGGCUGGCAUUGGGCGAGGAAUGAAGCAGCCUCUUGACUUCGACCAUUGCACACAAUAAGGAUUCGGUUCCAUUACCAAUUGUAUGAUCCCUGAAACAGUUACCGUAUAAGAGGACGGAUCUGUCCCGGGAGCAACGCGAAGCAAGAAGCUCCGAAAUGUUGUACUUGUUGGGUUUGACAUCCAAUAACUCUAGCUCUAACUCCAGUAGUGUCAAAUAUACUGCACAGGAAACUGUCCCUUGGACCUCCCAGGCACAGAGCACCUUUUAACUUAAAUGUUAAAUGCAAACGCCGGUCCCAGUAUUUUUAUGGUUUAACUGAUGGAAGAAGAGAUCAGCGCAUUGGAAUAGCAAUGCAGAAUGUGUGGAAUCUUAUUGACAAGAACGUUUGCUAUUGUGUGACUAUCUGAUUACAAUCCCACAGUAGCAAAUUCAUUUAUGUACCAUCAGAUUAGGAAUGUUACCUUCUCCAACACUUAAUUUGCCGUAUUGAUCGCAAAUAUGUAAACAUUGCUUAUUAACUUGUUCUAGCCCCGAGAUGUAAACAUAGAAUAGUGAUGGUUAUUUUCUGACAAAGCUAGCGGACUGGCGGGAUUGUCAAAAGUAGUGAAUGAAGCCGGCGACUUUCCAUUUCAGUCGGAUAGCAAUCUUCGCUUCCUUUACAUAGAUUAGUGAUGAUAAAUAUGGAGAACCAAUGGAUCAAGGUUUUGAAAAACGAGAUAUUCCAACACUAUUAUUCUCAGCAGCCGUCAACUUCAAUUACUCGAGGGAUUAUAAAUAAAAUUGUCCGUGGUGGAAUUCAUGGGGAAGUGUAUUCCAAUUGGCCACAUCUUUUAAAAUAAAUUCCCUAUUUUGACAACAUUUUCAAUGAUAAAAGCUACGAAGUAAUAAAUCGAGAUGCUCCAGUUUUGUGAAGGAGGGUGUGUUUAUUCGGCAAUAGUUUGACUGGCCAAAAUUACUGUUUUACAGAAUAUUAAAAGAUACGAUGACAGUGUGUCUUUUGCAC